UUAAGCAGAAGAGGAGCACUACCCAGGUAGAUGUUUUGUGGAGCCUCAACUCCCAAACAGGACAUUUAGGGGGAGUAGUGCCGAGAUAAACCAAAGGUGAGGCUUUGAUUUAUCGGUUGAUUGGGCUGAAUCCUAUCAACUGUCAUCAGAAUCCGCUGAUGAAGAGCUUCUGAGGAA
rnacentral:ncRNA from 2 species